CACUCUGUUUUCAGCUCAGGGAUACACGCAGUGAACUUUAGGCCUCCAGCGCUAUGGACUGAGCUCAGUCCAUGGGGUUUACACAGCAAGCGUUUUACCAGCGGAUCCAUGUGGCUUGUGCCAAGUCUCCAUCAAUACUGCUGAGUCGCUGUAAUACUCAGACCAGUUUGGAGCCUCAUUUCUUUUACUUCAUUAUCCUGGCAAAUGCCUGUCAUGUGAGAGCCUGAAGCACCUGUGUGGCAAACCUCAGAGAUUGCCUUUCCUGUCCUCUGUCUUCUGACCUGUGAGAUAAGUCAGCAACACCAGUGACAACUGUCUGACCUUGGACCUUUAGAACAGGUCUCAUUGUGUGCCAUGGAUGGCCUGAGAUUCACUUUGUAGACAACAUUGGCCUUGAACUUGUGGCAAUCCUCCUGCCUCUGCCCACUAAGUCUUGGUGUUACAGGUAUGUGCCACUAUGCUAGUACACCUGGUUUUCCUUAAAUACUCCUCCAGUUGCAUUCCACGCAUUGUGUUGUGAUAUCUUCAUUAUACACCAAUUUUUGUUUCUUUG